rnacentral:rRNA from 1 species
CUACGGGGGGCAGCAGUGGGGAAUAUUGGACAAUGGGCGCAAGCCUGAUCCAGCAAUGCCGCGUGAGUGAUGAAGGCCUUAGGGUUGUAAAGCUCUUUUACCCGGGAUGAUAAUGACAGUACCGGGAGAAUAAGCUCCGGCUAACUCCGUGCCAGCAGCCGCGGUAAUACGGAGGGAGCUAGCGUUGUUCGGAAUUACUGGGCGUAAAGCGCGCGUAGGCGGCUGCUCAAGUCAGAGGUGAAAGCCCGGGGCUCAACCCCGGAACUGCCUUUGAAACUAGGUAGCUAGAAUCUUGGAGAGGUCAGUGGAAUUCCGAGUGUAGAGGUGAAAUUCGUAGAUAUUCGGAAGAACACCAGUGGCGAAGGCGACUGACUGGACAAGUAUUGACGCUGAGGUGCGAAAGCGUGGGGAGCAAACAGGAUUAGAUACCCUUGUAGUC